CUGACACUUCUCUGCCAGAGUGUUAGCCAGUAAUGGUACCGGCUUACCUUGAGCUACUUCUACCUGGAUUUGUUCCCAGAUUCUGACCCUUCUUGUCUCUGUGUUCCCAGCUACCCUGGUCCGGAGUUAUCAGGUCAUCAGUCAACCCUCGAGACGGAACCCUCACUGCCUUGAGUCUUACCUGUCCGUCCUCUGCCGCCGCCUCUGAUCUCAACCCUCAACCUGCUGACCAGCCUCUAGACCCUCAAGGUCCUCUCCCAGUCCAACACUCCCCCUGAACAGUUGCCCUGAGAUCUGCCAGACGAACCAAGGAUCCUAAUUCUCAUUGUUUGAAUUCACUGUAAAUAAAUCACACUAUUGUA